rnacentral:rRNA from 1 species
AAUAGAUACCCCGGUAGUCCACGCCGUAAACGAUGAGUGCUAAGUGUUAGAGGGUUUCCGCCCGUUUAGUGCUGAAGUUAACGCAUUAAGCACUCCGCCUGGGGAGUACGGCCGCAAGGCUGAAACUCAAAGGAAUUGACGGGGGCCCGCACAAGCGGUGGAGCAUGUGGUUUAAUUCGAAGCAACGCGAAGAACCUUACCAGGUCUUGACAUCCUCUGACAACCCUAGAGAUAGGGCUUCUCCUUCGGGAGCAGAGUGACAGGUGGUGCAUGGUUGUCGUCAGCUCGUGUCGUGAGAUGUUGGGUUAAGUCCCGCAACGAGCGCAACCCUUGAUCUUAGUUGCCAUCAUUCAGUUGGGCACUCUAAGGUGACUGCCGGUGACAAACCGGAGGAAGGUGGGGAUGACGUCAAAUCAUCAUGCCCCUUAUGACCUGGGCUACACACGUGCUACAAUGGACGGUACAAAGAGCUGCAAGACCGCGAGGUGGAGCUAAUCUCAUAAAACUGUUCUCAGUUCGGAUUGUAGG